GUGGGGAAUAUUGGACAAUGGGCGCAAGCCUGAUCCAGCAAUGCCGCGUGCAGGAAGAAGGCCUUCGGGUUGUAAACUGCUUUUGUACGGAACGAAACGGUCCGGGUUAAUACCCUGGGCUAAUGACGGUACCGUAAGAAUAAGCACCGGCUAACUACGUGCCAGCAGCCGCGGUAAUACGUAGGGUGCAAGCGUUAAUCGGAAUUACUGGGCGUAAAGCGUGCGCAGGCGGUUUUGUAAGACAGGCGUGAAAUCCCCGGGCUCAACCUGGGAAUUGCGAUUGUGACUGCAAGGCUGGAGUGCGGCAGAGGGGGAUGGAAUUCCGCGUGUAGCAGUGAAAUGCGUAGAUAUGCGGAGGAACACCGAUGGCGAAGGCAAUCCCCUGGGCCUGCACUGACGCUCAUGCACGAAAGCGUGGGGAGCAAACAGGAUUAGAAACCCCUGUAGUCC
rnacentral:rRNA from 1 species